rnacentral:rRNA from 2 species
UGCCUGGCGGCAGUAGCGCGGUGGUCCCACCUGACCCCAUGCCGAACUCAGAAGUGAAACGCCGUAGCGCCGAUGGUAGUGUGGGGUCUCCCCAUGCGAGAGUAGGGAACUGCCAGGCAUCAAAUAAAACGAAAGGCUCAGUCGAAAGACUGGGCCUUUCGUUUUAUCUGUUGUUUGUCGGUGAACGCUCUCCUGAGUAGGACAAAUCCGCCGGGAGCGGAUUUGAACGUUGCGAAGCAACGGCCCGGAGGGUGGCGGGCAGGACGCCCGCCAUAAACUGCCAGGCAU